UACGUAGGUGGCAAGCGUUGUCCGGAAUUAUUGGGCGUAAAGCGCGCGCAGGCGGUCCUUUAAGUCUGAUGUGAAAGCCCACGGCUCAACCGUGGAGGGUCAUUGGAAACUGGGGGACUUGAGUGCAGAAGAGGAAAGCGGAAUUCCACGUGUAGCGGUGAAAUGCGUAGAGAUGUGGAGGAACACCAGUGGCGAAGGCGGCUUCUGGUCGUCGUAACUGACGCUGAGGCGCGAAAGCGUGGGGAGCAAACAGG
rnacentral:rRNA from 1 species